GGGCGUGUCGCCUAAUGGAUCGGGCAUCGAUCUUCUAAAUCGACUCAUGUAGGUUCAAUUCCUACCACGCCUG
rnacentral:tRNA from 1 species